rnacentral:rRNA from 1 species
AUACGGAGGAUGCAAGCGUUAUCCGGAUUUAUUGGGUUUAAAGGGUGCGUAGGCGGUUUGCUAAGCGGGAGGUGAAAUGCCGGCGCUCAACGUCGGAAGUGCCUCCCGAACUGGUGGACUUGAAUGACUCUGCCGUGGGAGGAAUGUGUAGUGUAGCGGUGAAAUGCUUAGAGAUUACACAGAACACCGAUUGCGAAGGCAUCUCACGAAGGGUUGAUUGACGCUGAGGCACGAAAGCGUGGGGAUCAAACAGGAUUAGAUACCCUGGUAGUCCACGCAGUAAACGAUGAUGGCUAACCGCUGGGCUUAUCAGUUCAGUGGCCAAGCGAAAGUGAUAAGCCAUCCACCUGGGGAGUACGACCGCAAGGUUGAAACUCAAAUGAAUUGACGGGG